rnacentral:sRNA from 1 species
CUGGAGCUGCAGGCGGCGGGAGGGGCUACAAAUGCUUGACUCAGUGAUGCAGAACCUUUCAGAGUUAGCUGGAAGCCACAGCCCUGCCUCUUGAUGCAGCCUGGAUCCAGCCGGUGUGAAGAGGAGACCCCUUCCCUCUUGUGGGGUUUGGAUCCUGUGUUUCUAGCCUUUGCAAAACUCUACAUCAGGGAUAUCCUGGACAUGAAGGAGUCCCGCCAGGUGCCAGGUGUAUUUUUGUACAAUGGACAUCCAAUAAAACAGGUAGAUGUCUUGGGAACUGUCAUUGGAGUGAGAGAAAGAGAUGCUUUCUACAGUUAUGGAGUGGAUGACAGCACUGGAGUUAUAAACUGCAUCUGCUGGAAAAAGUUGAAUACUGAGUCUGUAUCAGCUGCUCCAAGUGCAGCAAGAGAGCUCAGCUUAACCUCACAACUUAAGAAGCUACAAGAGACCAUUGAGCAGAGAACAAAGAUAGAGAUCGGGGACACGAUCCGAGUCAGAGGCAGUAUCCGCACAUACAGAGAAGAGCGAGAGAUUCAUGCCACCGCUUACUAUAAAGUGGACGACCCAGUGUGGAACAUUCAAAUUGCAAGGAUGCUUGAGCUGCCCACUAUCUACAGGAAAGUUUAUGACCAGCCUUUUCACAGCUCAGCCCUAGAGAAAGAAGAGGCACUAAGGGGAGAAAACCCAGGAGGAAUGAGAAUAUGUGCAUAUUUGCUAAUAUAUGCAUAAAAGAACUCUGAGAGGAGACACAGAGAACCGCAAUCCAGGCGCCCUGGACCUCCCCAGUCUCACGAGUUUGCUGAGUGAAAAAGCCAAAGAAUUCCUCAUGGAGAACAGAGUGCAGAGCUUUUACCAGCAGGAGCUGGAAAUGGUGGAGUCUUUGCUGUCCCUUGCCAAUCAGCCUGUGAUUCACAGUGCAUGCUCCGACCAAGUGAAUUUUAAGAAGGACACCACUUCCAAGGCAAUUCAUAGUAUAUUUAAGAAUGCUAUACAACUGCUGCAGGAAAAAGGACUUGUUUUCCAGAAAGAUGAUGGUUUUGAUAACCUGUACUAUGUAACCAGAGAAGACAAAGACCUGCACAGAAAGAUCCACCGGAUCAUUCAGCAGGACUGCCAGAAACCAAAUCACAUGGAGAAGGGCUGUCACUUCCUGCACAUCUUGGCCUGUGCUCGCCUGAGCAUCCGCCCGGGCCUGAGCGAGGCUGUGCUGCAGCAAGUUCUGGAGCUCCUGGAGGACCAGAGUGACAUUGUCAGCACAAUGGAGCACUACUACACAGCGUUCUGAGCAGAGACACGCAGACCAGCUGAGGAGGACAAAGAUAAGGUGGCGUUCACCCCCAGGCUCUGACUUUCAGCAUCAUGCAGGGGCUUAUCUGUCUGGAGGCAGUUACCUCGUAAUAAACUAUAAAAUAUA